rnacentral:rRNA from 1 species
AUUGAACGCUGGCGGCAGGCUUAACACAUGCAAGUCGAGCGCGCCGCGGACGGGUGAAAAAUGUCUGGAACACUCCCUUAUGGAGGGGGAUAACUACUGGAAACGGUAGCUAAUCCCGCAUAGCAUCAGAUUUUCACAGAUGGGAUUCGCUAGUAGGUGGGGUAACGGCUCACCUAGGCGACGAUCCAUCGCUGGUCUGAGAGGAUGACCAGCCACACUGGAACUGAGACACGGUCCAGACUCCUACGGGAGGCAGCAGUGGGGAAUAUUGCACAAUGGGCGCAAGCCUGAUGCAGCCAUGCCGCGUGUGUGAAGAAGGCCUUCGGGUUGUAAAGCACUGUCAGCGAGGAGGCGUUACUCACAGAAGAAGCACCGGCUAACUCCGUGCCAGCAGCCGCGGUAAUUC